rnacentral:snoRNA from 1 species
AACCUUGAUUUUAGUCUAAUGAUGAAUCUCAUAGGGCAGAUUCUGGGAUGAAAAUUUAAUUCAUCACUGAUAUUCCUACUAUUGGCACCACGGGAGCCUCUAGCGU